AGGGCUAUCGCCAAACGGUAAGGCAACGGACUCUGACUCCGUCAUUUGGAGGUUCGAAUCCUCCUAGCCCUG
rnacentral:tRNA from 1 species